rnacentral:snoRNA from 1 species
AAGCACAUUUCAUUGUCUUAUUCUUUAUAUUAAGAGAAAAGAUAUUUCUAAUGUGCUAAAUAAACCCCUGGAGGUAAAUUAGCGGCAUGACUAAUUUAGCCAUUGUUGUCAGUCUCCUUCAGACAACC